AACAGACGGCCCCGUAACACGGGCCGCCCCCGCCAGAGGACCCCCUAACUCUGUUUCUAUAAUGUUUCUUCUGAGUAAAACAAGCAAAUAAAUUAAAACUUUCAACAACGGAUCUCUUGGCUCUGGCAUCGAUGAAGAACGCAGCGAAAUGCGAUAAGUAAUGUGAAUUGCAGAAUUCAGUGAAUCAUCGAAUCUUUGAACGCACAUUGCGCCCGCCAGUAUUCUGGCGGGCAUGCCUGUUCGAGCGUCAUUACAACCCUCAGGCCCCCGGGCCUGGCGUUGGGGAUCGGCGGAGCCCCCCGCGGGCACACGCCGUCCCCCAAAUACAGUGGCGGUCCCGCCGCAGCUUCCAUUGCGUAGUAGCUAACACCUCGCAACUGGAGAGCGGCGCGGCCACGCCGUAAAACCCCCAACUUCUGAACGUUGACCUCGAAUCAGGUAGGAAUACCCGCUGAACUUAAGCAUAUCAAUAAGCGGAGGAAAAGAAACCAACAGGGAUUGCCCUAGUAACGGCGAGUGAAGCGGCAACAGCUCAAAUUUGAAAUCUGGCUCUCGGGCCCGAGUUGUAAUUUGUAGAGGAUGCUUUUGGUGAGGUGCCUUCCGAGUUCCCUGGAACGGGACGCCACAGAGGGUGAGAGCCCCGUCUGGUUGGACACCGAUCCUCUGUAAAGCUCCUUCGACGAGUCGAGUAGUUUGGGAAUGCUGCUCUAAAUGGGAGGUAUAUGUCUUCUAAAGCUAAAUACCGGCCAGAGACCGAUAGCGCACAAGUAGAGUGAUCGAAAGAUGAAAAGAACUUUGAAAAGAGAGUUAAAAAGUACGUGAAAUUGUUGAAAGGGAAGCGCUUGUGACCAGACUUGGGCUUGGUUGAUCAUCCAGGGUUCUCCCUGGUGCACUCUUCCGGCCCAGGCCAGCAUCAGUUCGCCCCGGGGGAAAAAGGCUUCGGGAAUGUGGCUCUCUCC
rnacentral:rRNA from 1 species